rnacentral:rRNA from 1 species
CCUACGGGUGGCAGCAGUGGGGGAUAUUGCACAAUGGGGGGAACCCUGAUGCAGCGACGCCGCGUGGGUGAAGGAGCGUUUCGGCGCGUAAAGCCCUAUCGGCAGGGAAGAAGGAGGACGGUACCUGACUAAGAAGCCCCGGCUAACUACGUGCCAGCAGCCGCGGUAAUACGUAGGGGGCAAGCGUUAUCCGGAUUUACUGGGUGUAAGGGGGGCGCAGACGGCAGCGCAAGCCAGGAGUGAAAGCCCGGGGCCCAACGCCGGGACUGCUCUUGGAACUGCGCGGCUGGAGUGCAGGAGGGGCAGGCGGAAUUCCUGGUGUAGCGGUGAAAUGCGUAGAUAUCAGGAGGAACACCGGCGGCGAAGGCGGCCUGCUGGACCGCGACUGACGUUGAGGCUCGAAAGCGUGGGGAGCGAACAGGAUUAGAUACCCCAGUAGUC